AUGUUCACUUUCACUGACAAGCCAAUGACAUGCAUAGCAGAUAGCUGCACUUGUUGCAAGGCGCAUGGAAGCAAAAGGUGCAUCUUGAAGAGGGAAGACACGAACACUGACCAUGUACCUCGCAUUGCAUCAGUAGAUCAAGCCCAAUUCAGCACGCCUUCAGUAAGCAAGAUUGGACCCCGAUUACCAGCACCAGGAAACCACGAAGGCACCGUGUCGGCAAACAGUUCCGUGUCUAGGAAAAGAAAUGGCAGUUUAUCUUCAAGCAUACAGUCAGGCACAACAAAGAAAAUCUGCUCACGUGAUCAGCAGGCUGUUGUUGCAGUAACCCCUGAUAUAAAAGGAAAACCGAACGGAGUCCAAUUGACCUAA
rnacentral:rRNA from 1 species